rnacentral:rRNA from 1 species
CCUAAAACCUAGCCCCACCCAACCAAUGACCAAACCUUACCUCCCCCCAACAAACCAAAAUAUUUUUAAGUCCCAGUAAAGAUGAUUAAAAAGACUUAUAGAGCUAUAACCCCAACCGCAAGGGAAAGUUGAAAUAAUAGUGAAACAAAUAAGCACAAAAUAGUAGAGACUUCCCCUUGUACCUUUUGCAUCAUGGUUUAGCAAGUCUCCCCAAGCAAAAAGACUUUAAGUUUGACACCCCGAAACUAAGUGAGCUACUCUGAGGCAACUUAGCAGCCAACCCGUCUCUGUUGCAAAAGAGUGGGAAGACCUCAAAGUAGUCAGUGAUAUGCCUAUCGAACUUAGUGAUAGCUGGUUACUUACGAAAAGAAUAUUAGUUCCGCCUAAAGUUGCUUACACACUUCCCAAUGCUUAACUUUAGAGUAACUCAAAUAGGGUACAGCCUAUUUGAAACAGGACACAACCUAAACUGGAGGGUAAUUUAAUGCUUUUACUCCCAAGCAAGUAGGCCUAAAAGCAGCCAUCUUUUAAAAUGCGUCAAAGCUUAGCUAAGCCAGCACCCAUCUCAUAAAUAAUACACAACCCCCUACCAAUAGUAAGUAGUUCUAUAAACUAUAGAAAAUAUUAUGCUAAAACUAGUAACAAGAAGGAACAACCCUUCUCUUUUAUACAAACAUAAACCAGCUUUGGAUAAACCACUGGUAAUUAACAGCCCUAAAUAAUAAUAGUAACAUCUCCAGAAACCCCUAUUAAUAUAUUCUGUUAACCUAACACAAGAGUAUAACAAGAAAGAUUAAAAGAGGAGGAAGGAACUCGGCAAACUAACAAUCCCGCCUGUUUACCAAAAACAUCGCCUCCUGACCACAUAGGAGGUCCAGCCUGCCCAGUGAGUAAUUUAACGGCCGCGGUAUACUGACCGUGCAAAGGUAGCGCAAUCACUUGUUCCUUAAAUAGGGACCCGUAUGAAUGGCACCACGAGGAUUUAACUGUCUCCCCCCUCUAAUCUGUGAAACUAAUCCCCCUGUGAAAAAGCAGGGAUAAUUACAUAAGACGAGAAGACCCUAUGGAACUUUAAACAAAUAAUACUUGCUUUUUUCCCCUCUCACUUUUCUGAAGCCAAACACCUAUAAGCAUACUAAUUAGAAGUUUUCGGUUGGGGUGACCGCGGAGAAGAACAUAUCCUCCGCGAUGGAAAGGCUGAACCUAUUAAAUAUAAGCCACAGCUUUAAAAAUCAGAACACUGACAUUAUUGACCCAAACUUUUGAUCAACGAACCAAGCUACCCUAGGGAUAACAGCGCAAUCUAUUUCGAGAGCACAUAUCGACAAAUAGGCUUACGACCUCGAUGUUGGAUCAGGGUCCCCUGGUGGUGCAGCCGCUACAAAAGGUUCGUUUGUUCAACGAUUAAAACCCUACGUGAUCUGAGUUCAGACCGGAGUAAUCCAGGUCGGUUUCUAUCUAUGAGAAGCCUCCCCUAGUACGAAAGGACCGAGAAGGCAGGGCCAAUGAAUUACUCAAGCCUUACUGAGCAAUUUAUGCAUGAACUUAAUAAAAUUACUGAGCCCAAGUACUUAAGUGUACCUACCUCAAGACCA